rnacentral:lncRNA from 1 species
GUAAUUUAUGAAUAGGUGGAGGAAUAUUUUGGACUAAUUACUUAUGAGGUGGGAAAUUCACAAAAAAGAAAAAGUGUACUUUAGGUUCAUUUUCUCAUAAUGGUAGUGAUGGAAAAUUUUAAUUUUAAUUUUUCUCCAAUGUUCCAAUGAUGGGAAAUUAAUAAAUACUUAUAAUGGUACUUUGGGUUAAUUCCUUUGUAACUUCAGUGAUGGAUAAUUUUGCAUUUCCUCUUUUCUCCAAUAAUGGGAAAGAUAUAAAUAUGUAAAUAGUAUUUUGAGUUGAUUUUUCAUAGUGGCAGUGUGGAUAAUUUUUUUUAUUUUUCCUCCCAUUAACGUGAUAAUUUCUAAGCCUUAAGAGCAAACAUGGAUGCUUCUUCUAUUGUCCAAAUACUAUGAGGAUUUUGGAUCAAGUUUUUACUGAUGGCCAAGGUCGAUAAUUGUACAUAAGUAUAGGGGUAUUUUUGGUUACUGUUUUAAAUGGCAGUGGUGAACAAUUUUGAUUUUUUUUUUUUGCUAUUGACAUGGUAAGUUCUGGGUGUUUGGAGCUAGCGUGGGUGCUUCUUUUGCAGGCUAGAUACUACUAGAACAGAUUUCUAGGCUCUAAGAGUGAACAUGAAGACUGAAUUUGCUGUCAAAGUACUAACAUAAUAGAUGUUUUAGACCUAACGUUAUUAAGGAAAACUCACCUUGUAUAUUUAAAGUAAAGUGUUUAUUUUAAUAAGUAAACUUGCAUUUGUUUGUUUGUCAACCCUAAGGGUCUGAUUUGGACGUCCCGCGCCAAGGACGAGGUGCUAAAAAACCAUCCCAAUGCUACACCGUAUUCUCUUCUCCAUCGAAUUCAACUUAUAUCAAGCCAUUGCCAUUUUUGAUGUGUCCUUCCCCAUGUAUCUAAGUAAUGUAUUUAAGAUGUUACCACAAAUAUCGCUGCCCCUAUAUAUUGUUCAAGUGAUAUGUCCAAGGUGUUUCCAUCUUUAUGUAAUUCCUCGCCUCAAUUCACG